rnacentral:lncRNA from 1 species
GAGGACCGCGGGCGGCGCUCUGUCUCCCUGUCUCUAUGGUCGCUGACGCCGCUCUGGCCGCGCGGUUCCUCUUUUCUCCCCGCCUCUUUGCGGUAUCCGCUCCGUGACUCCGCCCCUUCCGGUGGCGCUCUGCCCCGCGCGUCUCUGUGCUCCGGAGUCCUCCAACGCCGUGCGGAGCGGUGAGGAGUUGUGGGGCGGCCCCAUAGAGACGCUCCACUCCGAAGCCCCGCCCACUCCGAGAAGACCACGCCCACAAACAUUCAGACCACGCCCCCUUUGGCUAAGCCCCGCCCAUUCCCCCUUGAAGCCCCGCCCACGGGCCGCCAUGGCCCCGCCCCUUUUGUGGGCGUGGCCGCUGCUGGCCCUGGCGGUGGGCGGGGCGGUGGGCGGGGCUUGCACCGGAAAGAGGUGGAGCCUAACAGGAAGCGGAGCUUUGAGUGAUGGCGCCGGGAACUACUCGGUGAUGGGGGACUGCAUCUGGGUGCUGCACGCCCCCCCCCGGGCAGCGCGUGCUGCUGACGCUGAUGGAAGUGGAGACGGAGUGCGGCUUCGACUUCCUGUUCGUCUUCGAUGGCCCCGCC